GGGGAUAUAGCUCAGUUGGUAGACUGUUUGCCUGACAUGCAAAAAGCCCUGGGUUUAAUCCCUAGCACCA
rnacentral:tRNA from 1 species